GAUGAACGCUGGCGGCGUGCUUAACACAUGCAAGUCGAACGGUGAACGAGGGAGCUUGCUCCCUCCGGAUCAGUGGCGAACGGGUGAGUAACACGUGAGCAAUCUGCCCUGGACUCUGGGAUAAGCGUUGGAAACGACGUCUAAUACCGGAUAAGAGACGCGAAGGCAUCUUCAGCGUCUGGAAAGCACUUCGGUCCAGGAUGAGCUCGCGGCCUAUCAGGUAGUUGGUGAGGUAACGGCUCACCAAGCCGACGACGGGUAGCCGGCCUGAGAGGGUGACCGGCCACACUGGGACUGAGACACGGCCCAGACUCCUACGGGAGGCAGCAGUGGGGAAUAUUGCACAAUGGGCGCAAGCCUGAUGCAGCAACGCCGCGUGAGGGACGACGGCCUUCGGGUUGUAAACCUCUUUUAGCAGGGAAGAAGCGAAAGUGACGGUACCUGCAGAAAAAGCACCGGCUAACUACGUGCCAGCCGCCGCGGUAAAAC
rnacentral:rRNA from 1 species